GAUGAACGCUGGCGGCGUGCCUAAUACGUGCAAGUCGAGCGAACAGACGAGGAGCUUGCUCCUCUGACGUUAGCGGCGGACGGGUGAGUAACACGUGGAUAACCUACCUAUAAGACUGGGAUAACUUCGGGAAACCGGAGCUAAUACCGGAUAACAUGUUGAACCGCAUGGUUCAACAGUGAAAGACGGUCUUGCUGUCACUUAUAGAUGGAUCCGCGCCGCAUUAGCUAGUUGGUAAGGUAACGGCUUACCAAGGCAACGAUGCGUAGCCGACCUGAGAGGGUGAUCGGCAACACUGGAACUGAGACACGGUCCAGACUCCUACGGGAGGCAGCAGUAGGGAAUCUUCCGCAAUGGGCGAAAGCCUGACGGAGCAACGCCGCGUGAGUGAAGAAGGUCUUCGGAUCGUAAAACUCUGUUAUUAGGGAAGAACAAAUGUGUAAGUAACUAUGCACGUCUUGACGGUACCUAAUCAGAAAGCCACGGCUAACUACGUG
rnacentral:rRNA from 1 species